rnacentral:rRNA from 1 species
GGAUUGAACGCUGGCGGCAUGCCUUACACAUGCAAGUCGAACGGCAGCACGGGAGCAAUCCUGGUGGCGAGUGGCGAACGGGUGAGUAAUACAUCGGAACGUGCCCAGUUGUGGGGGGAUAGCCCGGCGAAAGCCGGAUUAAUACCGCAUACGACCUACGGGUGAAAGCGGGGGAUCGCAAGACCUCGCGCUAUUGGAGCGGCCGAUGUCGGAUUAGCUUGUUGGUAGGGUAAAAGCCUACCAAGGCUACGAUCCGUAGCUGGUCUGAGAGGACGACCAGCCACACUGGGACUGAGACACGGCCCAGACUCCUACGGGAGGCAGCAGUGGGGAAUUUGGACAAUGGGACGAAAGCCUGAUCCAGCCAUGCGCGUGCGGAAGAAGGCCUUCGGUUGUAACCGCUUUGUCAGGAAGAAACGGUUACGAGACUAAUAUACGUACGACUAAGUGACGGUAACCUAGAAGAAUAAGCAACCG